CCUACGGGCGGCAGCAGUGGGGAAUAUUGGACAAUGGGCGAAAGCCUGAUCCAGCCAUGCCGCGUGUGUGAAGAAGGCCUUCGGGUUGUAAAGCACUUUCAGUGGGGAAGAAAGCCUUGGGGCUAAUACCCUCGAGGAAGGACAUCACCCACAGAAGAAGCACCGGCUAACUCCGUGCCAGCAGCCGCGGUAAUACGGAGGGUGCGAGCGUUAAUCGGAAUUACUGGGCAUAAAGCGCGCGUAGGCGGUCUGAUAAGCCGGUUGUGAAAGCCCCGGGCUCAACCUGGGAACGGCAUCCGGAACUGUCAGGCUAGAGUGCAGGAGAGGAAGGUAGAAUUCCCGGUGUAGCGGUGAAAUGCGUAGAGAUCGGGAGGAAUACCAGUGGCGAAGGCGGCCUUCUGGACUGACACUGACGCUGAGGUGCGAAAGCGUGGGUAGCAAACAGGAUUAGAUACCCGUGUAGUC
rnacentral:rRNA from 1 species